rnacentral:rRNA from 1 species
UACGUAGGGACCAAGCGUUGUUCGGAUUUACUGGGCGUAAAGGGCGCGUAGGCGGCAAUUCAAGUCAGCUGUGAAAUCUCCGGGCUUAACUCGGAACGGUCAGCUGAUACUGCUUUGCUAGAGUGCAGAAGGGGCAAUCGGAAUUCUUGGUGUAGCGGUGAAAUGCGUAGGUAUCAAGAGGAACACCUGAGGUGAAGACGGGUUGCUGGGCUGACACUGACGCUGAGGCGCGAAAGCUAGGGUAGCAAACGGG